ACCUGGGCGGGGGGGUGGGGGCCCUGCUCCAACGAGACCUGCUGCUGGAGGACCUCCGUCAGGCCGUCCUGCGCUUCAUCUACGCCUACGCCCCAGGGGCCGCCGCCUACAUCGCCGAGGAGUGACCUCCGACCCCCGGGCAGCGGCGGGACGGCGGACUCCAACCGACGCCGAGUUCAGGAAACUGCAAUGAAAUGACGAGAUCUGGAAAAAUGUCUUCCAACAUAGACUUGGAUCACUCAACCAGAAGAAACUAUACGGCCUCAGGUUGCAGAAUGAUAUAAAAGCUUAUGAAUCCGUUUGUCACCAUGUAGUUCUGAGGGCUCACCUGCAGCUCUGCAUUGGUUCCUCGUCACCACACCCAUCUGGCCUUCACAGGAUCCACUAAAGCAGAAAGGAAUGAAAUGUACAUUUAAAUAAAGAAUUCAUGAUUGCU
ensembl:lncRNA